GUGGGGAAUCUUCCGCAAUGGACGAAAGUCUGACGGAGCAACGCCGCGUGAGUGAAGAAGGUUUUCGGAUCGUAAAGCUCUUUCGUUAGGGACGAACGUGCUCUUUGUGAAUAAUGAGGAGUAAUGACGGUACCUAAAUAAGAAGCCACGGCUAACUACGUGCCAGCAGCCGCGGUAAUACGUAGGUGGCAAGCGUGGUCCGGAAUUAUUGGGCGUAAAGCGCGCGCAGGCGGGAUAUCAAGUCUGUCUUAAAAGUGCGAGGCUCAACCUCGUGAGGGGACAGAAACUGGUAUUCUUGAGUGUCGGAGAGGAAAGUGGAAUUCCAAGUGUAGCGGUGAAAUGCGUAGAGAUUUGGAAGAACACCAGUGGCGAAGGCGACUUUCUGGACGAUGUCUGACGCUGAGGCGCGAAAGCUAGGGGAGCGAACGGGAUUAGAAACCCCGGUAGUCC
rnacentral:rRNA from 1 species